rnacentral:rRNA from 1 species
CGCGUAGGCGGUUCUGUAAGUCGGAUGUGAAAUCCCCGGGCUUAACCUGGGAACUGCAUUCGAUACUGCAUAACUAGAGUAUGGUAGAGGGAAGUGGAAUUCCGGGUGUAGCGGUGAAAUGCGUAGAUAUCCGGAGGAACACCAGUGGCGAAGGCGACUUCCUGGGCCAAUACUGACGCUGAGGUGCGAAAGCGUGGGGAGCAAACA